CUGCGACCCCAGGUCAGGCGGGACUACCCGCUGAGUUUAAGCAUAUCAAU
rnacentral:rRNA from 1 species